CAAUAACAGUGCACUUCUGUGUCUAACCGUUAGAUAGCAUCGCUAGUUGCUAGCGCCAGAAAACAGCAGAUGGAACAGAAAGGACCUUCUGACGUCAAAGUCAUACCAAGAACCUGCUUCCGUCACAGCAGGCGCCUGUUACGAUGCGUUUCAUUUCAAAUUAUCUACAUUAGAAGAUGGACCGAAAACUAUUACUGUGCAUUGCCUUGCUUUGCUUUCUCGAGUACGCCUAUUGUGGUGAAACGACUACUGCACAUAGACAGGGGUGGCAGUACUUCCACAGUCAUUCGGAUUUAAGAAGUAAAGAACAGCCUGACGAUAUAGAUUCGGAUCCAAUGAAAUUAAUGGACGGACAAGAUGUGUUUGAAAGAGAGUAACAACACAAAUCCCAUCAAUAAUUAUAAUCGUGAAGAACUUUUUAUCACUGAAAUGCAAUAAAAAUCUUACCGAAAAUACAUCAAUAUUAAAUUUUGUUUCAUUAAAUAUAAAUAUGUUUUUAACUGAAGUGUGUUUUAACAACUGUUGUGAUGUCGCUAUAUCCUGUUUUCGUUUAAAAUAUUUCUAAAUCUCCGCUACCUUAAUAAUUAUACCCACUAUACUUG